GUGGCGAACGGGUGAGUAACACGUGAGUAACCUGCCCCUGACUCUGGGAUAAGCGUUGGAAACGACGUCUAAUACUGGAUAUGACUGCCGGCCGCAUGGUCUGGUGGUGGAAAGAUUUUUUGGUUGGGGAUGGACUCGCGGCCUAUCAGCUUGUUGGUGAGGUAAUGGCUCACCAAGGCGACGACGGGUAGCCGGCCUGAGAGGGUGACCGGCCACACUGGGACUGAGACACGGCCCAGACUCCUACGGGAGGCAGCAGUGGGGAAUAUUGCACAAUGGGCGAAAGCCUGAUGCAGCAACGCCGCGUGAGGGAUGACGGCCUUCGGGUUGUAAACCUCUUUUAGUAGGGAAGAAGCGAAAGUGACGGUACCUGCAGAAAAAGCACCGGCUAACUACGUGCCAGCAGCCGCGGUAAUACGUAGGGUGCAAGCGUUGUCCGGAAUUAUUGGGCGUAAAGAGCUCGUAGGCGGUUUGUCGCGUCUGCUGUGAAAUCCCGAGGCUCAACCUCGGGCUUGCAGUGGGUACGGGCAGACUAGAGUGCGGUAGGGGAGAUUGGAAUUCCUGGUGUAGCGGUGGAAUGCGCAGAUAUCAGGAGGAACACCGAUGGCGAAGGCAGAUCU
rnacentral:rRNA from 1 species